rnacentral:rRNA from 1 species
CCAUAACGCCCGCGGCAUGCCUANCACAUGCAAGUCGAACGAAGGCUUCGGCCUUAGUGGCGCACGGGUGCGUAACGCGUGGGAAUCUGCCCUUGGGUUCGGAAUAACAGUGAGAAAUUACUGCUAAUACCGGAUGAUGACUUCGGUCCAAAGAUUUAUCGCCCAAGGAUGAGCCCGCGUAAGAUUAGCUAGUUGGUGAGGUAAAGGCUCACCAAGGCGACGAUCUUUAGCUGGUCUGAGAGGAUGAUCAGCCACACUGGGACUGAGACACGGCCCAGACUCCUACGGGAGGCAGCAGUGGGGAAUAUUGGACAAUGGGCGAAAGCCUGAUCCAGCAAUGCCGCGUGAGUGAUGAAGGCCUUAGGGUUGUAAAGCUCUUUUACCAGGGAUGAUAAUGACAGUACCUGGAGAAUAAGCUCCGGCUAACUCCGUGCCAGCAGCCGCGGUAAUACGGAGGGAGCUAGCGUUGUUCGGAAUUACUGGGCGUAAAGCGCACGUAGGCGGCCAUUCAAGUCAGAGGUGAAAGCCCGGGGCUCAACCCCGGAACUGCCUUUGAAACUAGAUGGCUUGAAUCUUGGAGAGGCGAGUGGAAUUCCGAGUGGUAGAGGUGAAAUUCGUAGAUAUUCGGAAGAACACCAGUGGCGAAGGCGACUCGCUGGACAAGUAUUGACGCUGAGGUGCGAUAGCGAGGGAGGGA